UACGGAGGGUGCAAGCGUUGUCCGGAAUUAUUGGGCGUAAAGAGCUCGUAGGCGGCUUGUCGCGUCGGCGGUGAAAACCUAGGGCUCAACCCUGGGCUUGCAGCCGAUACGGGCAAGCUAGAAUUCGGUAGGGGAGACUGGAAUUCCUGGUGUAGCGGUGAAAUGCGUAGAUAUCUGGAGGAACACCGGUGGCGAAGGCGGCAUCCUGGACCGACACUGACGCUGAGGAGCGGAAGCCAGGGGAGCAAACGGG
rnacentral:rRNA from 1 species